GGAAAGAAUUAUCCUUCCUCAUGUGGUUAAUAUUAUGUGGAUGUUUUAUAUCGUGAAGUUGGUUUGUUUGUUUUGUUUUUCCAUAAAGCCUGCAUGUUUCAGAUGUUGUAAUAAGACGAUUUUUUUAAAAAACAAAACCCAAUUCAAAUCAUAAAAUUGAGAAUGGAAAUGGGAAAUGCUGGUGCCCAACUUUGGUGGUGAAAAUUUGGUUGAUUAUAUAGAGAAUCACUGAAGCAUGACGAAAAGAGACCCCCGCCCUUUUAGGUCAGUCAACGCCCCCUUCCCUUCUAUGAAAAGUUCUGGAUCAGCCACUGCAUGAUGCCAUGGCAAUACAUAAUAUAUAAACAAUAUAAAGACACAUUUAUAAUAUACUAUACAAAAGACACAACCGAACAAUAUCACAUGUAAAGCACAAUUUCAAAUAAAAAAAAAUAACAGAAAGCAUAACAGUUUAAUCGAAAAACAAAGACAAAUUUUUUUUUUUAAAACAUAAAUCACACAAAGCACAAUUCAAUAGAACAUUCAUUAUUCAAAGCUCCGAAUAGUAUACGACAUUAAAUCACAAAAAGUAUAGUUCAGUGACACAGUAGGGUUGAAAGAUACCAAACGGACAGUCAAACUCAUAGAUCGAAAAUAAACUGACAACACCAUGGCUAAAAAAAGAAAAACACAAACAGACAAACAAUAACUUACAUAUUAAAGACACAACAUAGAAACCUAAAGACUAAGCAACACGAACCCCACAAAAAACUGGGCGUGAUCUCAGGUUCUCCGGAAGGGUAAGCAGAUUAUCCUGCUCCACGUGUGACAACAGUAUAUUACAGGAGGGCACUGAUUAUAACAUGACGAUUUACAAGAAUUUGAAUACCAUUCUGUAAAUGACGAAUAAAGUUAAUCAUUGUAUAUAUACAUAAGUUUAACGAAUAACAUUUUUUUGUUUAACUAUUUUAACUCCAAAAUAUUAAUAAAAUAUCCUGGUAGUAAAUACAUUCGGCCUUUUCUCGUACAUUUAAACAAAACGAGAAACUAUAUCCGUGUAUUCUAUCUGGUAAAUCAUUGGCUCUUAUUUCUAGUAUUCUAGAGACCUUUGCACUUUACCAGUGUUCCUGAAUGUUAAAAUAGAAGGGCGGCCCUUAUCCCCACUUUUUUGUUCACCAAAGUAACACAAAUUGACACAAUUUCCCGUUUCACCAAUAAUCUGACCAGUAAACAUGAAAGCUUGUCUAAACAGCUAGUUACUAUGACGAUGAAUACAUGUGUAAUCAUUGUUAAUUCUCAUUUUUUACCAUCCUAAUUGUGUGUCUUGCUUCGUGUAUAAUAAUGUGGUAACACAUGGAAAUAACAAAAUAACUACGCAUAUGAUUGAAAUGUGCCCUCAUGUUUAUCCCAGAAAUAUAGAAUGUUGUUCUCAAGGAAUGUGCGAACAGCCCUUUUGCUAAGUCGACUGAAAUUAAGGCGGGAAAACUGCUUUAACAUUUGAA
rnacentral:lncRNA from 1 species